rnacentral:lncRNA from 1 species
AAACUUCAAAUUUAGAGGCCAUGUAAUUGGUAACAAACGGAGCUGAGGUAAUGGUCGAGGAGACGGAUCCAUAAUUACGGAACCUAUAAUGAGGAGUUACAAGUGCAAUUGGCUAUAAUUUGAGGAUUACGAAAAUCUUAUAAUUUAAACAGUAUUAUUAUAAUAAAUAAAUUUUUUUUAAUUUUAAAAAAAGUGUGAUCGCCUCUCGGCCUCAUUAGAUUCAACCGUCGUUGAUUAUGGACAUGGCUGUCGGUGUGGUCAAGCACAACUGCCGAAAUUCGAGAAAGAGAAACAAAUGAACUCCUUUCCGUUGUGGGUCAGGACCUUAUGAUUUGUGCCCAAAAUAGAUAGAACGAUACGGUUCGAAAACAGUAGCACAUUGACACAACGACAUACAAAACAAACAUUCACAGUCCACACCACUUGCUUUGGCUGGGGUCACCUACCGUAUGCCUUUUAAAUUAGGAAAGUAGGAACACAGUGUGACUCUGGAGAAUGGAUGAUGAGAAUAAUGAAGAUUACUACAUUGUUUGGUAAUUGAGGGAUGAUGAGUUGCUUAAAAUGUGUGUAUUGUGAUAGAUAUUUAUUAAAAGUAUUUUCAAGUGAUGCCACAUAUUACUCUAAAAGGUAUUUAGGCCUCCGUUGGUAUGUUUAAAGCCAAGCUUUUUUUUUAAGACUUGACUACUAAAAAUGUCAAGAAUUUUUGGACUUUUUUGCUUUUGAGUUUUACUUUACAAACAACAAAAAAGCAAAAAAGCAAAAAGCAAAAAAGCCAACUCUGAUUGGCUUUUUUGCUAUUUUAAGCCAAAAAAAACCAGAAAAAAACUAAAAAAAAAUGGAUGCCAAACAGAGCCUUAAUCAUUUUCUUGGACUGAAUCAUUGUUGAUUAGAGAAAUUACUUACAGUUUUUUUAUACUUUUAAUUAUCAGAUCGCACUACAUAUUUCAAUUUUAAUUAGGUCAGUUAAAAAUUAUUCGAAGGUAUAAUGGUUUUACUAACCAUUGUCCAAGAUGUGGUGUUUCAAUAUACACGUUUCAUGAAUAUUUAUACUAUUGAGAUGUUUGAAUAUACUGUUCAUGAAAGAUUUAUAUCCAUGUUUUAAUAGCAAAAAGGAAAUACAUUUUUGUUGUUCCUGUUAAAACUAAGUAUUGAUGUGAUAUUUUAUCCCAUGUCGUUUAAGUGACAAAAGAGGCAAUGUGAUUUCAGUAACAUGCCAAGUGAUUCCUAAUUAGGAAGCAUUAGAUGAAAAUAUACGUUCAUACUUAACUUUGUAAAGUAUGUGGAUGACCACGGCACCAUUAGAAGUAAAAGAUAGAUAUAAAAACAAUUUAACUAAAUGUUACACUGUGUAAUUACACUUCUUAUUAAAUUUCAUUUUCGGCGGCCGGCCCUCCAAUACGUACGAUGAGCAGCCCAAUGUAAUUUGUUAUUUUUUACAUCGAAUUUUCCUUAGCAUUUUCCUCUUUAAAAUCAUAGACAAGAAAGCUCACAUUCAAUUUCACAAAAUUUAACUAUUCGAGUUGAAAUAAAGUCUUGCAGUUACAAACACCUCAUUUACUUGAAGAAAAAGCAAGAAAACAUAACUAUUCCAUAGAAACUUUGAUAUAGGGAUAUCCUGGAAAACCACAUUAGGGGGGAGAGAGAGAGAGAGAGAGGAGCGAAACAAAAGCAACCCUAAUGACAGAAAAGCAAGCCUAGUCUUUAACUUCCACACUUCUCUUUGAUCUGCAGUAAAAAAAAUGGACAAAUAUAUUAUACUUAGAUGGAUAUGAAGUGAAGACAUACAUAUCUUUAAUUACAAUAAUAUUAAUUUGAUUAUCAAAGCCAACAUGAAAGCUACAAAUGCAAAAGGUCUCAUAACCAAAUCAAUAAAAUUAAUAAUUAAUAAUAAUAAUAAAAGAAUAAUAAAUCUAAAUUGACCACAGAACUAGCAAUAGAAAAUAUAUGGACAGAAAUGGUAGAUUCCACCUUACACAUAUUGCAUAAGCUUUGUGUAUGAGAAGUUAUAUAUAAGUAUAGAAAGACAAACUUAAAUAAAGAAUAAAAGUAAAAAUGUAUAUUAAACAUAAAGGAUAUUCAGAAUAUAUUUUAUUUUUUUUUUUUUUUUUGAAAUAUUGUUAAUCAUAAAUAGCAAUAUAUAUCAUAUUAUAUUCUGAAUAUAUGUCUAAAGAUAUUCAAUAUAUUCAACAAAUGCUACUACCAUGUAUUUGAUACACGCUAAUGGAAUCCCAUGCAUACAUUUUAAAUAUUGAGUAUUUUUUAGAUAAUAUUUUAGAUUUUGUCUAUUGCUGUUGAAGAAAAAAAAUCAACAAUGCUAGUCUCACGAAUCCAGAAAAGUAGGAAAAUUAGAAAUAUAUCAAAAAUUCAUUAAUAGCUUAAUUUUUGGGUAUUUAAUGUAGUCCGUUGGGAAUGCUUAAAAGUCAAGUUAUUUUUAAAAUUCUACCAAAAGAGUCAAGAUUUUUUUAUUUUUUUGUUUUUUGGCUUUAUUUUAGCUAAAACAUAAAAAAAUUAUAUAACUGACUAUUUAUUAUAAACUUAAAAAAAAUCCACUAAAAAAAAAUGGUACCAAAGGAGUCUAAGAAAAAGAGGAUCAUCGAAGUACCAUAUGAGUGUGGUGUUUGUGGAGCAGAACGUGAUGGGAGUUAACGUGCGCUGGAGGUAGUCGAAGCCCCCAGCUGGAGUGAAAUGGAGGUGACGCCAAACUCAUUGGGCCACCCCUGGUGACCAGUUGCAGUGCACCAGACAUCGAGCGUCGUCCCCGAACGCUCUCGCACCGUUGAAUGGCCCACCCAACCUCCCCAAACGCCACGUCGUUAAAUGAACACCGCGACUUUUGUGAUUCCACCAGGCAAUCGCACCUGCGCGCAGAGGAUCAGGUUCCGCGAUUAGUCAUGUGAACGAGACCAAAGCAAUGGUCAAUCAAGACAAGCAGCAGGGAGGGUGCGGGGAGACAUGCACAAGGUCCAUUCUUAGAAUUUACAUCGCCAAUUCCGGACGAAAGACAAUUAUACCCGUCCCGAGUGUGAUAUUGAUAUGUGGGACAUCUCACACUAUACAGCAUCUAGAUGAUAUUUUAAUAAAAUUUUAAUAUAUCAAUGAUUAUAAAUUUUAUGCACGUAAAAUAUAGUAAAUCAAAACGGAAAAUAUAAUCUUAAACAUAUCAUAGUUUAUAAAAUAUUAUGUACAUGUGACAUAUUAAUUAAAUACUGCUAAAUAAAAAACUUCAGUUAUAUUAGGUUCACAUAAGUGAUAUUAAAAUCAUAAUUAUUAGAUAUAAGUAAAACUUCACAAAUACCUAAUAAAUAAAUAAAUUUUAUAUAUAAUAUAUAUCAGUCGAAAUCAAAACCGAACAAAAAUGAGUUAAGCAUAAAUUUGCUAAACAUGAUAUAUAUAUAUAUAUAUAUAUAGAUAUUAAUUCUAUAUAUAUAUAUAAUCAUAGACUUUAUUAUAGUUAUUUAUAUUCCUCACAACGCUUACUUCACAUGUGUAAGAUGCACUCUAGCAUAUUAACAAUAAAACAUAAUAUGUAAGGCAAACACGAACAACCACUGCCAAAUAUGGGAAGCGCUUUGUUCAAAAAUUGAAAAAAUAUUAACGAAAAACAAAUAGUUAGUUCAUUUGUGAGUAAAAAUAUGUUUUAAUUAAAUAAUGAAACAUAUUGUUAAAUUUUUCUUUUACAAAAAUCUACAGAACAAACUAAUUUUAAAAAAGUUUACACACAAACGAAAAAACUCGAAUCUUUAAAAACUUAAAUCACCUAAUUAAAAAUUAAAAAAAAAGAACUAUGCCUAAGAAAUAUGAUUGAGAUUCAUGUAAAAAGAAGUAUUCUUAAUUCCUCAUAGAGUAUUAUAUUAUCUACAUAAUGCUAACCAAUUUAGAACAAACCCCUUGUUUACCUAAAUCUGGAGUGAUGCAGAUGGAACAGUAGGAGGAGGAGCAAAGAUUGAAUAACCACCAUAAUAGUCAUUGAUGGCUGUUGCUGUUGUGUUUUAGCUUCAACCAACUUCUUCUUCCUCAACUUCUUUUGCAUAUGGACAAACGCUGACCACUCAUCAUCAUCAGCUCCCUCAGCAACACCCUGGCCCACCGCCCACCGCCCGCCUGAUCAUUCCUGGGAACCCGAACCCGGACGGAAAUAGAAGCCCUCCGGCCUCGCAAACUCCGCAUCCAGACCCCAAAAAGCUCGGUCUGGUUCACCGAUGGGAUUGCGAAUUCGCCACGUCGACAAACGGGGAGGCCUUUGGGGAGAGGAACGCGCUUCUCGGAGCGAUGAGGACGACGACGUGGCGGUGGAGGACGGCAGGCCGUGGGUGUUGGGGGGUUGUGGGGUUGGUGUUUGUUUGGUGGAUUGGAGGUGGCGCUGUUGCUUGUGUUUGGUGCGGGACUUUCGGUCGGAACAGUAGAAGACGUGGGGCGUCGCCCACCUGGGCAAGUAUUCUUGGAGCUGGGCUCGGAUCUUUUCGGAUUCGUCGCGGGGCGGGUUGACAUGCCCGAGUUGAAGAGGCUUCCAGGGAUCCGGAUUGCUCUGGCUUCGGAUUCCACCUGGGUUUUGGCUCGGGGGUUCUUUCUUCAACUUACUACCAUUGUUUCACAUUCACAAAAUACCAAGUUAAAGAUGAACCCUAAAAAGAAAAAAGACAAAAACUAACUGCACAUAAAAGUACAAAAAAUGGAAAAUACACAAAAAAUUAUGAACGAUUGUAGAUUUAAUUCUGAUUACGGGACCCCCCUUUGAAUGCAUAGGCCCAUACAUGAUGAUUUUUUGUGUAAAAGCAAUGAUUUCUCAAACAAAAAACCCUAGAAAAUUUGAUUCUUUCUAAAAUCACAACAUAACUUCUUUCUUGAUAAAAACAGCACUUUUUAUUCAUAGAAUCAAUAAGUGAAACAAGAACAGUUAAACAGACUGCUUGCGUUUUCAAAUUCAGCUUUUUAGGAAAGUUCUGAUAAUCGUUGUAAUUUAAAAAAAUUAUUUUUUUGAGAAAUUUAGAAACAAAUCUUGA